CAUGCAUCUCAAGGCAUUCCACAUAAUUGUAUCAAAUUCCUAAAUAUUUCAAUGGAUCUUCAGAUGAGUUCAUUGAUGCCAACAUUCAACUCGCAUUGGCUGUUGUGAAAAAGCUCCAGGAGAAACAGGAGACCCGAGCUUGCUUAGUCUUCCCUGAUAAGCCAGAAAAGCACAGAGCCUCCGAGUUGUUCAAAUCAGCUCUGGAUUCGAUUGAUGGCAUUACCAUUGGUUCCUUAGAUAUGUCCCUGCUGGACCUAUGACUUCAUUUUUCCGAUCCAUUAGGAACACCCUUGAUUUUGAUUUUGAAGAUGAAAAUG